GGGAAAGAUGUGGAGCCUACUGACUCAGGAUCAAAUCCCAGCGGGGCGGUAUCUGCGAGUCGCCGCAACCCACAGCCUCAGACAAUAUAGCUGACCUUGGUCCUAGGACCUGCUAGGGCGCCGGGACACAGGAAACUCAGCCUCGGAAUGUAUCACUUCCGGAUAUACCUAACCACAUCUUGUCCUGGCAAGAUCCAAACAGAAAGGUCAGUCAUUUCUUAUUAGAGGAUAAAUCAAUUGGUAAGUUUCCCAGUGGCAAUUUUCACAAAUGUCGAGACUUUCCAGGAUCUCUUAAUGUGGGGAAAAUAAAAGUGAGCAUGGUGAUUUCAAAGACAUUUGCCCUUAAAGUAAAUUUCAGCAAACCAAUUCCCAAAUCAAACUGUGACCCACGGCCUUUUAUGUCUCUUAAUAAGAGUGACAAAAUAGUUUAUUUUUCAAAUAUAAGUCCACAUUUUAUUACAGUUUUUUAGAACAUUAGAGAAAAGUUCCACAUAAAAUGAAAGGGAAUUUGUUUGUGGGCUACAAAUCAAUUCUGAAUAAGCAAUUAUUAAGGCUUUCAUCCUCGUGACUGGGGACAACUGCAGGGUUAGAAGCUCAUGCUAAGUCGCUCAACAUUUGUGGGAUAUCCAGUGUGUGAGAACUCAGUUCUGAAUAAUGCAGCAGCAUCUAUGGAAUAUAUUAAAUAUUCACAAAUAAAUCUUAUUUUAAGGCAUAAAUUAUUUUAAGUUGCCUAUGGAUAUUUUUGAAUGAGGUAGAAUAUUUUAUAAAAUCAAGCAUUUAUUGGAAUGUACGUUACUGUUUGAAAAGGAAAAAUAUGUACGGGCCCCACUUACAGCUGUGCCAAAUAUUAAUAAUGAUCAUGAAACCCCUUUAAAUUUAAACUAAAAAUCAUUAUAAUGCUAUGUUUAAGAUUUUAGAAAAUAUUACAGUUUUCAUGGGAAUACAAUAUUCUUUUGAAAUAUUUUUGGAGUUAUCAUCUUGCUAAACUAGCAAUAUUUAGGGAUAUUUUUAUCCUUAAGCAAUAUUUAAGCAAUACCCUUUGAAUCAAUAUUUAAGAUAACUGCAGAUAUCUGGGGAGUUGUAAAGACAGUUGUGUUAUUAUAUGUGCAUUUUAAACCCACUUUCUGCCAAGAAAGUAAAAAAAACUCAGGCAUUAGAGGGAUUAUUUUUUAGUCUCUAAAAGUGUAAGCUGAUAAGAACGGAUAAAACCAGUAAGAAAAAUUCAUACUCUCAUCACAGAUAUGCCCAGAGUUGCCUUUUAAUUUUUCUUAUUUUCUGCUUUUGCAGUAUACUGUGGAAAAACAGGGAGCAGGAAACAGAAAGGAGUAAUAUCUCUUCUGGCAGAGCGGUGUCUUCAAGCUGCAAACUGUGUAGAAUAGAGAAUGGGGAGUUAAAGGUUUCUAUCAUUCAGGACGGGGAGUAAAAUACAAAAUCAAAAUUCUUAGAUUAAAUACAGGUGAGAAUGGUGUACAAGGCAUUCAUCUCUUAAAUAAAAAAGAACCUCUGUAGAUUUUACAAGGUGAGGUUCAAUAAGAUUCUGUGCUGGGCAAUAUGACAGACACAGAAAUAAGUUAUUUCAGGGGCAGAUGAAUAUCAUUAAUUGUAUUUCUUCAAGCAGUUCCUUACACGUUGCUAAUUGGAAAUACACUUGUUACUUGUUAUGUGACAUCAUCAUUUUAAACUAGGGAUUUAGCAAAUAAAUAAUAUAGUAAAAAUUCUCAACUUAUUUAUUUCCCUCUCUUUGUAUACCUUGUUGCUUAAUACAAUUCUAUUCCUGUUAGGCCUUUAUCCCAUUGCUCUUAGAAACUGCCAGUAUUCAUUUUGCCUUUUUACUUCUUAUGUUAUUAAUUCUCUUUGGAAGAUUAUCUACUCCCUUAUCUGGCUAUUUUAAACAUCUCUAAAGGGUCAGAAUAAAUUUUGCCUCUUUGAUGAUGUCUUUAAAUUUUCUUUUCUCUUUUUCUUUCCUUUUCUUUUCUUUUCUUGUUUCUUCUUUUUUUCUUUUUGAGACAAAGUCUUGUUCUGUCACCCAGGCUGGAGUGCAGUGGUGUGAUCAUGGCUCAUUGCAGCCUUAUCCUCUCACGCUCAAGUAAUCCUCCCACUUCAGUCCCCUGAGGCUGGGAAAACAGGCACAAGCCGCUAUGCCUGGGUAACUUUCUAUUUUGUGUAGAGUCAGGGUCUGGCUAUGUUACUAGGCUAGUUUUAAUCUAGUUUUAAUUGUUUUCUGCCAUAGUUUUUUUGUUUUGUUUUUUUGUUGUUGUUUUGUUUUGUUUUUUUUUUAGCUGGGACUAUAGGUGCUCACCACCAUGCCUGACUAAUUUUUAUAUUAUUCCAUAGAGAUCAGGUUUCAUUUUAUUGCCCAGGCUGGUCUCAAACUCUUGGGCUCAUGUAAUCUCCUGCCUGGGCCUCUUGAAGUGUUAGGAUUGAGGUGUGAGUUACUGCUCCCAGCAUCUGCCAUAGUUCUUAACCCCUUUUACUAUUGUAAUUGUGAGUAAUUAAUACAAAGUAAAAUGAUUUAAUUAUAAUUAUUAAUUAUGAUUUAUUAAAAUUGUAAACUAUGAAAAUAUAGCUCCAAAUGAUCACAAAAACUUUCAGGCAUGGAUCCCAUAAUCUAAUUCUCCUAUGUUCUCUUCAGUGCCAGCAAUAGUGACGGUCACAGCCUUGGAAAUAGAGAUGAGGGUCCAUCAGUGGGAAAAUUUUAUGAUAAAAUACAAUAUUUACAGAAAUACUAAUUAUCUAUUUUAUAUUAAUUAAAUAUAAUGAUACUGUACUGCCAUUUAUAGGAUACUGCAUUUUCAAACCUUUCAUAGAUGUGUCUCAAGUUUUGAUCAAUUUAUACAAAUUUUUAAAAAUGUUUUAGAAAUGUUGCAGGGCAUCGGUUAGGAUGCUGCAUUUCAGUGACCAUAUGUGGACUGAGACUAGCCAAACUCGGACUUGAAACUGUUUGAGAGUGACUAACGUGAGAGCCAGAGACUUAAUGGAGGGGGCAGAAUCAAUGCAAGAUGCUUGGUGUAUCCUCUUCUCUGUCAUACUUUUGAGAAAUUUGUGAAUGAGGACAAAUGGUCACAAGUAUUGAGUAUUGGGAUGAUGGUGGUAGCAAUCCUCUAAUUGAAAUCUAAUUGUAUCAGGAAAAGCCUCCUAUAACAGAAUAACUUUAAAAUUAGGAUAAAAAUGUCAUAAGUAGUGAGAGGAAAAAACAUUGGUAGCAUGCCAUCUUAAAAAGUGAUAUAACUACAACAAACAAACAAAACAAACAAACAAACCAAAAAUAGAUGCAGAAAAGGUUUUCGAUAAAAUUCAACAACCUUUCAGGUUAAAAGCCCUCAACAAACUAGGCGUCAAAGGUACACACCUCAAAAUAAUAAGAGCCAUCCACAACAAGCCCACAGCCAAAAUCAUACUGAACAGGCAAAAGCUGGCAGCAUUCCCCUUGAGAAACGGGAACAAGGCAAUGAUGACAAUUUUCACCACUCCUAUUCAACAUGAUACUGAAAGUCCUAGCCAGAGCAAUAAGGCAAGAUAAAGUAAUAAAAGCCAUCCAAAUAGGAAGAGAGGAAGUCAAACCUUAACUCUUCACAGAUAUUAUGAUACUAGACUUAGAAAACCCCAUAGUCUCUGCCCACAGGCUCCUAGAUCUGAUAGACAACUUCAGCAAAGUUUCAGGAUACAAAACCAAUGUAUAGAAAUCAAUAGCAUUUCUAUAUACCAAUAACAUCCAAGCUGAGAGCCAAGCCAAGAACACAAUUUCAUUCACGGUAGCCACAAAAAGAAUAAAAUAGGAAUACACCUCGGAAUACAGUUCGCUAGGGAGGUGAAAGAUCUCUAUAAUGAGAAUUACAAAACCUUGUUGAAAGAAAUCAGAGAUGACAUAGACAAAUGGAAAAACAUUCCAUGAUCAUGGAUAGGAAGAAUCAAUAUUGUUAGAAUGACCAUACUGCCUAAAGCAAUCCACAGAGUGAAGGCUGUUCGUAUCAAACUACCAAUGACAUUUUUUCACAGUAUUAGAAAAAAAAAUUAUAAAAUCCAUUUGUAACCAAAAAAAAAAAAAAAAAAAUCCCAAAUAACCAAAGUGAUCCUAUGUAAAAAGAACAAAACUGGAGUCAUUAUACUACCCAACUUCAAACUAUACUAUAAGAUAACAGCAACUAAAAUAACAUGGCACUGAUACAAAAACAUACAAAUGGAACAGAUUAGAAAACCCAGAAAUAAAGCCACACAUCUACAACCAUCUGAUAUUCAACAAAGCCAACAAAAACAAGAAAUAGAGAAAGGACUCCCUAUUCAGUAAACAGUGUUGGGAUAAUUGACUAGUCAUAUGCAGAAAAUUGAAACUGGACCCCUACUUUUCACUGUACACAAAAUUCAACUCAAGAUGGAUUAAAGAUUUAACUGUAAAACCUAUAAUUAUGAAUACCCUAGAAGAAAAUCUAGGAAAUACCAUUCUGGACAUCGACCCAGGCAAAGACUUCAUGAUGAAGACUCCAAAAGCAAUUGUAACAAAAAUGAAAAUUAACAGAUGAGACCUAAUUAAACUAAAGAACUUCUAUACAAGGGGGCGGAGCAAGAUGGCCGAAUAGGAACAGCUCCAGUCUCCAACUCCCAGCGCGAGCGACACAGAAGACCGGUGAUUUCUGCAUUUUCAACUGAGGUACUGGGUUCAUCUCACUGGGGAGUGCCGGAUGAUCGGUGCUGGUCAGCUGCUGCAGCCCAAACAACAAGAGCUGAAGCAGGGCGAGGCAUCGCCUCACCUGGGAAGCGCAAGGGGGAAGGGAAUCCCUUUUCCUAGCCAGGGGAACUGAGACACACAACACCUGGAAAAUCGGGUAACUCCCACCCCAAUACUGCGCUUUAAGCAAACAGGCACACCAGGAGAUCAUAUCCCACACCUGGUUCGGAGGGUCCCACGCCCGCGGAGUCUCCCUCAUUGCUAGCACAGCAGUCUGUGAUCUACCGGCAAGGCAGCAGCGAGGCUGGGGGAGGGGCGCCCGCCAUUGCUGAGGCUUAAGUAGGUAAACAAAGCUGCUGGGAAGCUCGAACUGGGUGGAGCUCACAGCAGCUCAAGGAAACCUGCCUGUCUCUGUAGACUCCACCUCUGGGGACAGGGCAAUAACAAACGCAGCCGAAACCGCUGCAGACGCAAACGACUCUGUCUGACAGCUUUGAAGAGAGCAGUGGAUCUCCCAACACGGAGGUUGAGAUCUGAGAAGGGACAGACUCCCUGCUCAAGUGGGUCCCUGAGCCCUGAGUAGCCUAACUGGGAGACAUC
rnacentral:lncRNA from 1 species